UUGAGUAUGUUAGCUUAUGCUACCAUGAACUUUGUGAACUGUUACCGUCCACUUGGCGGCCGAAAGGCUGUCAUAAUGGGCCACUUACUUAAUUUACUAAUAACUUUUUAUACCAGCAAUAAGCUAUAUAAGA
rnacentral:misc_RNA from 1 species